CCGUCGUCGUACGUCGCCCCCCGCUCGUUCCAUCAUCCCGCCGCUGGACAAUCUGAGCCGCGUGAUAUUCCCGCAUCGCCGCUCGCCAAAAUCAACCGCCUUGCCCAUCGCGCCGCGCCCCACGCCCUUCCCUUCGCCGCGCCGCCGCCGCCAAGCGCGCCGCAGAUCCGCUAUCUCCCCGCCGCGACUCGUGCCGUGGUGCCCGCCGCCACGGAUCCGCGACCUCCCCGCCCCGACUCCCGCAGCGGCUGCGGAGCCACCGCCGCCAUCCAUCGACCCAUCGCGCGAACACGCCGCCGCCGCCAUCCGUCGUCUCAUCGCGCGAACACGCCGGAUCUGCUGCCGUUCGUCAUCCCCAUCGCGCGAACAUGCCGAGCAGAGGGCUCGACCAUCGACCGGCUGCGCCGUCCCCUACCCCCUAUCUUUUCCCCAACGAGUUCCGUCCGACCUUUCUUGAUCUCAAGAGGGUUCUUACAGGUACCCACGUAAGAAACCAUGGCUUGCCUGUGUGCGUGUGUGCAGGCACCCACAAAGCCAUGGCUGCCAUGAAGGAUUCAGAACUCGGAGGCAAAUCAGGUAUCCAGGUUGGUCACGGCAAGGGCAUGGCAAGGGGAAGAAAGGGAAAAAAAUGGAGAGGAAGAAAAUAUCAUGACCUAUACUGAACCAAAAUAAUUUCCGUCAUUUAAGGUUGGCUUAGGAUGGAAAAUUAGGGGUAAUUUGAUCUAAAAUUCUUUCUAUUCACAAGGAUAGCUGCAAUACAGUAUUUUAAGACAGCAGUUCUGAUGGAUUUUUGGUCAAACAGUUUCAUGGUAUUACAUGGUAUACUAAUACUCUGAUUUGGUAGAAUAGUAUGCAUAGUAGUAGAGAUUUUGAUGUGAUCUAGGGCAUGACUUGACAAUUAUUUGAAUAUACCAUAGUUUGUUGUAAAACAUUUUCUAUUCGACUAUUGGAGGACAUUGCAAUAAGUCACUUGGUCGGCUAACUUUGUCUUUCAUGGGGCUCUAGAGAUAUGAAAUAGUGAAGCUGGUCAAAUGAUGAGAGCAAAUAAUAAAUCAGGAAAUGCAACUAUGGAAGAGCAAUGGUUUCAUUUAUUCUGUUAUUUUUUUUCUUUCAAAAUAGCAUCAGGUCAAAGCAACCAGUGAGCAAGCACAAUUGGGGAGCCAAAUUUACAUUUUGCAUUUCACUUUUACCAUAUUGACUUGUGCUUUUCUUUUGCUGUGAUAUGCUCUGCAGUAAAAGCUAGAUUGUUUUUUAUGUCUGCUACAGUGCAUUCAUUUUAUUUGUCAUUCGUGUGUUACAAUUUUUGAUACAGUGAUGUCCAUGCUCUAUUUAUGUAGGUACACUGAAACUAAUUAGUCCAAGUAGAGAUAUGGUAAAUCAGUUUAACAUCUGAAAUAGUUGCAGAACUACUAAACUAAGUUUAAUAUCUUUCAAAAUUAUUUGGUGAUCUGCAUCUUUCUGGUAUAUCAGGCAUAAACAAAAAUGUGCAUAAGUAUCAGUGGUUAUUUACUCUAAUAACUAAGCUAAUUCUUUUCAUGUGAUUUGAGUUGAAUUAUGAUAUAGUUUCUCAAGUUUUACUAUAGUCAUUAAAGUCGAAUCAAGUUGUGGUAUAUUUAUUGACUUUGUUCCUUGAGUCAAUAACUAAGGAUGUUGACAAAUGCAGGGGAAAAAAUUUAGUUCCCCUUUCAGCUCAUGAGGGCACAAAAGGAGUAGUGGUAGAGGCAGGACCACUCCUGCAGCACAUAUCUGGUGUGGGUGCCAUAGUGUAGAUAUGUGCAACUCAGAGCUAGGUUGUUACAAAUGGUGAUACAUUAAUACAACUAUAUUCUCCAGUUAUUCUAUUUGGCCCUGACCCACCAUGCUUGUUCUAUUGCCAUCAUAAUAGCUUUAGUGUCAUUCAUCACUGGUUCUGUAGUCUGUGUGAUAAUAACUUAAGCUUGCUAUGGUUAAAGAUUGCAUUUAGAAAUGAACCUGUAGGUGAAGUUUUAUCUGCCUAAGGUUUAAGUAUGCAUAUUCAAAAUAGCCAGUAACUUGACUUCUAAUUGUUAUGUCUGGAGUACUCGCAUGUCAACCAACGGCAGGUAUGAUGUUAUUGCCGCUGUUGAUUCUCAUUUCCCUGUGAUAAAAUAACCUAGAUAAGCCGUGCAUAUCAAAACAACUUAGAUAAGAUAUAUGAUGCUCGGGAAAUCGACUGCCUCUUUUAUUUAGUGCUAAAAUUUGAGUAAUACUUGCCCAACAACGCCAAUGGGAAAGUGAUGAAUCCAAUUUGGAUUUUUUUAACCAUAUUAUUAGGUACACUGAGAUAGUUUUAUGUGAAGCUUUGUCUAACAACUUGAAUAUAUGUGCAGAAGUUAUUCUAUACAGAGGGGUUGUAGAGCACAUUGACAACACACUGAUUUCCAGUGCACAAAGGUUUAAGCUUUGUCUUCCUAAUAGACCGGAAAUGCCUUUGAUUAUUUGUGUUUGUCCCUAUAUGUUUGUCUAUGAUUUUAAUCCAUUGUCUGUCCUUGUCCUGUGAAAAUAUUAUAUAGAUCAUGUCUGUAUGUGUGCUUGUUUUAUCUUGCUAAAGUACUACUGUAAGUACUACGCCAUUUAUUUAUGAGAAUAAAAGGUCUUGGACUAUUUCGUCGCACAACA